UACAGUCAUGAUUGUGUUUACUCCUGUGUGCGUGUGACUGAGUGAACACUGACUACAUUUUGUCCUUACCUUUGUGAAAGGAGUCCAUCCAGAAACCAGCGGUCACCCCUUGGAGAGAAGUCCUUCCAGAAACCAGCAAUCUCCCCUCAGAGGGGUUAGUAGCAGACCUCGCCAGACUAGGCAUAGGUAUGAGGGCAGUGAGGACCCAGAAGCGGCAGAGAAAAAAAGAGUACAAGCAUACAUGGAAA